rnacentral:rRNA from 1 species
GAUUUCUGGUAUGGCGCGCUUGGCCCGCCGAGGUUACUCGGUUGUGUGCCGGCGUGCGCCUGCCAUCCUUCUGGGGAACGGCUCUACCCUUCACUGGGUGGGAGUCGGUAUCCAGAUCUUUUACUUUGAAAAAAUUAGAGUGUUUAAAGCAGGCUUACGCUAUGAAUACAUUAGCAUGGAAUAAUAAUUUAGGACUUUGGUCUUAUUUUGUUGGUUUCUAGGACUAAAGUAAUGAUUGAUAGGGAUAGUUGGGGGUGCUAGUAUUCAGCGGCCAGAGGUGAAAUUCUUGGAUUCGCUGAAGACUAACUUAUGCGAAAGCAUU